rnacentral:rRNA from 1 species
UACGAAGGGGGCUAGCGUUGCUCGGAAUCACUGGGCGUAAAGGGUGCGCAGGUGGCCAAGUGUGUUAGGCGUGAAAGCCCGGGGCUUAACCCCGGAAUUGCACCUAAAACUACUUGGCUAGAGCAUUGGAGAGGGGAGCAGAAUUCAUGGUGUAGCAGUGAAAUGCGUAGAUAUCAUGAGGAAUACCAGAGGCGAAGGCGGCUCCCUGGACAAUUGCUGACACUCAGGCACGAAAGCGUGGGGAGCAAAAGGG